GGGAGCAGACGGAGCAGCAUCAAACACCGCAACUCCAUGGAGUCGAAAGAGUGGAGCGGACCCGAUUACAGUUGAAUCUUACGGAGUGACCAAAACCGAACAGCAUACGUAUCCCUCGCCCAAACUGGUUCGAUCCAAUCUCUCUCUCUCUUCCAGCGACUCAUGCCUCCCCCGACCAGGUGACGAUGGAACCCUAGUGUUGCACCUCUGCCACCCCACCGGCGCCCCCUGGCCAAAUCCAUUCCCCCGCGACCUCCCCAACUCCUUGUCCACCUCCUUAUCUUAGACGACUGUUCUGUUCAACAACAACUUUGGCGGCAUAGGGUUUGGGUGGACCUUUGGCGGCUGAGAUCACCUGAGCCUUGUCGUCAUCCCUGGCAGCUCAGAUUCGAUGUCUGUAAGUGCAUGCAAUUAAUAUGUAAUUUUCUUGGAGAAUGUCUGCCGAUUGGAGUGACGAUAACACUAUGAUCUUGACUGAGCUCUUUGUCCAACAAGUGCAUGCUGGCAAUACGCCAGACAAUUACUUGACUCAAAAUGAUUAAGAGGAAGUUGCAUAGGAUUUCAAAGUCAGAACAGGUCUGGAGUACCCCAGGCUCCAACUGAGGAACAAGUGGGAUAAGUUGAAGACUGGUUAUAGCAAUUUUAUAAAACUCAAGUUGAAGGAGACUAGUGGUGGGUGGGACUAUGAGAGAAACACCAUCAAACAACAUGCUGAAUGGUGGAAGAAAGCAAAGAUAGACAUCCCUAGUUGUGGUAAGUCCCGAAAAUGUGGACAUUGAAAUGAGAAUAACUUAUCGAUCAUGUUUGGUGACAUCACGAGUGAUGGUACAAAUCACUGGAAUCCCGCUUCAGGCACCAUUCCCCAAUCUAGCAGUGCAAUCAGUUUUCAAUGUGGACAACAUACACGAUAUUGAUCUAGAGGAGACACAAAUAGGUGAGUCACGUGCUGAUGGAAAAGGGAAGAGACUUGGCAGAUUUGUGGAUGGUAAUAACAAGAAACUGAAGACACCACUUGUUAUGCAAGAACAUGUAACAAGAGUUGGAGAUACAGCAUAGAGGACCCAAUCUAGCUUUGAGUCAUACAUGAAGAAAGAAGAAAGUUCAUUGCUUACUUCCGUGAUGGAUCUGGUUGUUUAGUGCGCUGCAAUAGUAGGUAGUGAUGAAUGUUUCAUUGCUAGUGAACUAUUUGUGAAUAGAGAGCAGGGAGAGAUGUUCCUACACAUGACUAAAAGUGCUGCUCAUUUUGAUUGGUUGCGUAGGAAAUACAACACCAAGUAUGUGCAUUAGAUGCUACUGAUGUUGUUUCUACCUAUUGGGAUGUAAUACUAAUUUAAAGUUUGAACUUAAUUAUGUACUCUAUGGUUUACUUGUAAGAUUAUUUGGGUUUUGACA